UUAACGAGAGUUGAUGUGUGUUUGACGUGAGUUGACGUGUGAGAGCCGAGUAAAGCUCCUCCUCGGUUGACUGAACUCGAGACAAACAAAGAGGACAUGGCACUUGCUUUACUAAAUUAGAAUUUUCAGUUGAUACCAAAGCAUAUUUUUAUAAAGAUUUACAAUGGCUCAGUUGAAAAGCACAUGGAAGGAGAAGAUAAGUAUUGCUCUAGGAUUCAACUUGACUGACCUCUCCUUCGAGAGCAUUACACGUCUACUGCAUGAACCUAGGGACUCAGCAUCAUUAGCUAUCUGGAGAGUUGUAUUUGGUCUCCUCAUCAUUAUUGACAUUCCCCAAGAACGAGGGAUGGCCAGCAUCAGCAGGAGAUGGGGAGAUCCACAGCAAUGCCAUUUUCCGCUCUUCUAUUUUCUGUCACCACUCCCUGUUGACUGGAUGUAUGUUAUUUACCUGCUGAUGUUCCUUGGAGCCUUGGGUCUAACCAUUGGAUUUCUGUAUCGUCUCAGCUGCCUAACGUUUGUGCUAACCUACUGGUAUAUCUUUUUGCUGGACAAGUCAGUGUGGAAUAACCACUCAUAUUUGUAUGGACUUAUUGGAUUGCAGUUUUUAUUCAUAGAUGCAAAUUGUUGUUGGUCAGUGGAUGGACUUCUUAAACAUUCCAUAAGGAAUUCCCACGUUCCUUUAUGGAACUAUGCAUUGGUGCGAUUUCAGAUUUUUAUAGUUUAUUUUGUUGCUGGUUUGAAGAAACUUGACAAAGACUGGGUGUCAGGAUACUCAAUGGGAAACCUUGCUGAUAACUGGAUCUUUGAUCCAUUCAGAUUACUUUUGACCAAUGAGCAAAUAGACUUGUAUGUUGUCCACUUAGGAGGUUUACUGCUAGACUUGUUUAUUGGUUUUUUCUUAUACUUUGAUAAGACAAGACUAUUUGCAGCAUUUUUCUGUGCCUCAUUUCACACAAUGAACUCCCAGAUGUUCCAAAUAGGUAUGUUCCCAUACGUAAUGCUUGCAACAAUCCCGUUGUUCUGCUAUGCUGACUGGCCAAGGAGAGUGUUUAAACAUUUCCCAGAUGCCUUCAAAAUUGCACUCCCAUUGGAUACUCAGCUGCAGACAAAUAAACACUGCUUAUACCAACAGCCAAUCAACUCACUAGAUCUCUGCCAACAGCCAGUCAAUGAAAUCCGUCCACUUAAAGGGAAAUUAAAAGGCAAAUCAACACGAAGAUCACAAAGAGGUGCAUCUAAUGCGAAAAGAAAAGUAGCAACAGAAAAUGAAAUUUGUGUGAGACAUAAAGUUGUGAUUGUAUGUUUACUAGCGUACUCAGUUACACAGGUCUUACUACCUUACUCACAUUUUGUAACUAAGGGAUACAACAACUGGACAGAUGGGUUAUAUGGUUACUCAUGGGAUAUGAUGGUCCAUAGCUGGUCAAGUCAACACAUUAAAAUCACUUAUGUGGACAACACAACAGGACAAGUGGGCUACAUUACUCCGGGUGUACAUCUUUGGGAUGGUGCUAGUGAAAGAUGGAGUGCCCACGGUGACAUGUUAAAACAGUAUGCCAUGUGUUUGGUAAACCGCCUCAAAGACCACAAUAUUCGACAUCCUCAGCUUUACUUUGAUGUAUGGAGGUCACUGAAUGGACGAUUUCAGCAGAGAAUGUGGAAUCCAAAAGUUGAUAUCGUGGCAGCUGAUUGGUCACCUCUUAGCCAGUCAAGUUACUUGAUGCCUCUCCUUUCAGAACUGUCGCCAUGGCGAACAAAAUUUGAUGAGAUACAAGAUGCUUUGGAUAAUCAGACCACAGUUGUGUUUGUGGCAGACUUUCCAGGAUUGUAUCUUGAAAACUUUGUUGAUCCUAAUCUUGGCAACACAAGUAUCCAGGUUCUUAAAGGGACUGUAGCGGUUGAAAUUGCAGAUGGUGGCAAAAACGUGACAUUACAAGAAGGAGACAGCAUACAAGUACCUCCUGGUAGGUUCCAUAUAGUGCGCACGAUAUCGGACACUCCAUCCUGUUAUAUGUAUUUGACUGUCAACACAACAGAUGUCGCCAUCAGGAAGAAGUUUAAUAGCUACAAGGAAAUCAGAAACCAUAACAGAUCAAAUUUGUCAGGUGAUUCAAAAAAUUAGGACGGUCUUAAAUUGCACAAAGCAUGAUGAUCCACAAGCAUUCUCAGGUGUAGUGCUGUUAUGACAGGUUGUUUGUUAUGUGACCUCCAUGCUUUUUAAGAAUUUUCAUCUGAAGAGCUUAAAAUUUUCAAUGAUCUACUGGAAGAUGAGAAGUUUAUAGAAGAGUACAAGUCCAUGACCGUUCUUGAUCGAUUUCAGGACUUUUACGCCAGAAAGUGGUCAUUGUUUAGUUCCAG
rnacentral:misc_RNA from 1 species